rnacentral:rRNA from 1 species
AUUGAACGCUGGCGGCAUGCUUUACACAUGCAAGUCGAACGGUAACAGGUUAAGCUGACGAGUGGCGAACGGGUGAGUAAUGCAUCGGAACGUGCCCGGUCGUGGGGGAUAACGCAGCGAAAGCUGCGCUAAUGCCGCAUACGAUCUGAGGAUGAAAGCGGGGGACCGUAAGGCCUCGCGCAAUCGGAGCGGCCGAUGUCAGAUUAGGUAGUUGGUGGGGUAAAGGCCCACCAAGCCGACGAUCUGUAGCUGGUCUGAGAGGACGACCAGCCACACUGGGACUGAGACACGGCCCAGACUUCUACGGGAGGCAGCAGUGGGGAAUUUUGGACAAUGGGCGAAAGCCUGAUCCAGCAAUGCCGCGUGCAGGAAGAAGGCCUUCGGGUUGUAAACUGCUUUUGUACGGAGCGAAAAGGUCCUUUCUAAUACAAGGGGCUCAUGACGGUACCGUAAGAAUAAGCACCAGCUAACUACGUGCCAGCAGCCGCAGUAA